CCUACGGGGGGCAGCAGUAGGGAAUAUUGCUCAAUGGGGGAAACACUGAAGCAGCAACGCCGCGUGGAGGAUGAAGGUUCUCGGAUUGUAAACUCUUUUUGUUAGAGAAGAUAAUGACGGUACCUAACGAAUAAGCACCGGCUCACUCCGUGCCCGCAGCCGCGGUGAUACGGAGGGUGCAAGCGUUACUCGGAAUCACUGGGCGUAAAGAGCGUGUAGGCGGGAUAGCAAGUCAGAUGUGAAAUCCUAUGGCUUAACCAUAGAACUGCAUGUGAAACUGUUAAUCUACAGUAUGGGGGGGGUAGGUGGGAUUCUUGGUGUAGGGGGAGAAACGGAAGGGAU
rnacentral:rRNA from 1 species